GGUACGAUAGGAGUUACGUCACAUGUUCACAAUCAAACUUGAUGUUUACAUCAGUAAAGAGCCUGCCUUGUUAAUGUGGUGUAUGCUUCCCUUAAAACGAUAGGUUGCAAUUGCAACAUCGAAUAUUAGUUGUACACACAAACAUAUGUACUAUUGUUGAGCUUUUUGUGAGUCCGAAUAAAGGAAGCUGCGAGCAUCGGCUCGACCUCUUUUACUGUUAACUUACAUACGAGUAACAUCUAGUUCCCUUAUUUAUACCAUCCGACAAUUGAUCUUAGUUAAAAUACUUUCUUUAAUAACUUAAAUAACGGAUAUAAAAGUGGCGACGAGGAUUAAUCAACAAGCCGCGGGCAGACUUGAUCAACUCCAAGGAUCUACCGACAGAUAAAGUGCUUUGUUUUACUCUUUAGCAAGGACAGUGGUUAUAGAAUCAGGAAUAACUGUUUGUAUUUUGACCUUUUGAACAAUUUAGGACAGUAAACUAAUUUUGUUUGUCGCCGAUUGGUGUAAUGAAAUAGAAGUGAUUUAAUUGAGAACUUGACAAGGUGUGGAUUUGCACCAACCUAAAAACGCGGAGUGAAAACCAAUUGGUUGAUUGGAUGUGCGUUUGCAUUGAUAAUUAUUAUGGCUAUUGUUGUUGUUCUGUAGGUAAUGUGCACGAAUUGUUGCGAGGGUUUGUGUAAGAAGGAUAGCUAUUGCGGCUCAAUGGCCAUUGUGACGAUUGGAUGCAUGCAUAGUGCCAUAUUCGACGAUUUCAACAGUUAUCUAAUUAUCGGACUGAUAGACCUCCAACAAGCGAUGGACUUAGAAGAAUUGUGGCGGAAUAGUCCGAACCUGAUGUGUGUGCCUCGAUUCAGAUGUUGGCUAGGAAAACGAAUGGCAGUCGUGAUGAAGACGUUGAUGCAGAAUUGUGCACGGAAUUGCCAACGGGCAAAGAAAGACGGAGGCAUUCGGAAGAGUGUUGUGUUCAUACCGAUAAUAGAUUAUUCUUUAAGAAAAUUGAGUAACAAAAUUGUUAGGUUUAGGAUAUUGAAAUUGUCCUGUCUGAUAGAAAGAUGUUUGAUUUCUGUUUAGAAUUUUUUAUUAUUUUCAUUUUACUAUCGAUUGAGAGUCAUAUUAACAAAAUUCCUAAGAGGGAAGAACUGUGGUGUAUGCUUCCCUUAAAACGAUAGGUUGCAAUUGCAACAUCGAAUAUUAGUUGUACACACAAACAUAUGUACUAUUGUUGAGCUUUUUGUGAGUCCGAAUAAAAGAAGCUGCGAGCAGAGGCUCGACCUCUUUUACUGUUAACUUA